rfam:Drosophila sechellia strain Rob3c scaffold_2244 genomic scaffold, whole genome shotgun sequence.
AAACUGUGGAAGGAAGCUAUGUUCAUGGGUUGGAUAACUUGCAUGUCUAAGUACACACGAAUUAAAAGUGAAACCGCAAAAGGCUCAUUAUAUCAGUUAUGGUUCCUUAGAUCGUUAACAGUUACUUGGAUAACUGUAGUAAUUCUAGAGCUAAUACAUGCAAUUAAAACAUGAACCUUAUGGGACAUUUGCUUUUAUUAGGCUAAAAUCAAGCGAUCGCAAGAUCGUUAUAUUGGUUGAACUCUAGAUCGUAUGGUCUUGUACCGACGAAAGAUCUUUCAAAUGUCUGCCCUAUCAACUUUUGAUGGUAUUAUCUAGGACUACCAUGGUUGCAACGGGUAUCGGGGAAUCAGGGUUCGAUUCCGGAGAGUGAGCCUGAGAAACGGCUACCACAUCUAAGGAAGGCAGCAGGCGCGUAAAUUACCCACUCCCAGCUCGGUGAGGUAGUGACGAAAAAAAACAAUACAGGACUCAUAUCCGAGGCCCUGUAACUGGAAUGAGUACACUUUAAAUCCUUUAAAAAGGACCAAUUGUAGGGCAAGUCUGGUGGCAGCAGCCGCGGUAAUUCCAGCUCCAAUAGCGUAUAUUAAAGUUGUUGCGGUUAAAACGUUCGUAGUUGAACUUGUGCUUCAUAUGGGUAGUACAACUUACAAUUGUGGUUAGUACUAUACAUUUAUGUAUAUAAGCGUAUUACCGGUGGAGUUCUUAUAUGUGAUUAAAUACUUGUAUUUUUUCAUAUGUUCCUCCUAUUUAAAAACCUGCACUAGUGCUCUUAAACGAGUGUUAUUGUGGGCCGGUACUAUUACUUUGAACAAAUUAGAGUGCUUAAAGCAGGCUUCAAAUGCCUGAAUAUUCUGUGCAUGGGAUAAUGAAAUAAGACCUCUGUUCUGCUUUCAUUGGUUUUCAGAUCAAGAGGUAAUGAUUAAUAGAAGCAGUUUGGGGGCAUUAGUAUUACGACGCGAGAGGUGAAAUUCUUGGACCGUCGUAAGACUAACUUAAGCGAAAGCAUUUGCCAAAGAUGUUUUCAUUAAUCAAGAACGAAAGUUAGAGGUUCGAAGGCGAUCAGAUACCGCCCUAGUUCUAACCAUAAACGAUGCCAGCUAGCAAUUGGGUGUAGCUACUUUUAUGGCUCUCUCAGUCGCUUCCCGGGAAACCAAAGCUUUUGGGCUCCGGGGGAAGUAUGGUUGCAAAGCUGAAACUUAAAGGAAUUGACGGAAGGGCACCACCAGGAGUGGAGCCUGCGGCUUAAUUUGACUCAACACGGGAAAACUUACCAGGUCCGAACAUAAGUGUGUAAGACAGAUUGAUAGCUCUUUCUCGAAUCUAUGGGUGGUGGUGCAUGGCCGUUCUUAGUUCGUGGAGUGAUUUGUCUGGUUAAUUCCGAUAACGAACGAGACUCAAAUAUAUUAAAUAGAUAUCUUCAGGAUUAUGGUGCUGAAGCUUAUGUA